AGAGCGAACGCUGGCGGCAUGCUUAACACAUGCAAGUCGCACGGUCAGCAAUGGCAGUGGCGGACGGGUGAGUAACACGUAGGAAUCUAUCCCAGGUGGGGGACAACAGCGGGAAACUGCUGCUAAUACCGCAUGAUACCUGAGGGUCAAAGGCGCAAGUCGCCUUGGGAGGAGCCUGCGUCUGAUUAGCUUGUUGGUGGGGUAAAGGCCUACCAAGGCGACGAUCAGUAGCUGGUCUGAGAGGAUGAUCAGCCACAUUGGGACUGAGACACGGCCCAAACUCCUACGGGAGGCAGCAGUGGGGAAUAUUGGACAAUGGGGGAAACCCUGAUCCAGCCAAUGCCGCGUGUGUGAAGAAGGUCUUCGGAUUGUAAAGCACUUUUGGCAGGGACGAUGAUGACGGUACCUGCAGAAUAAGCCCCGGCUAACUUCGUGCCAGCAGCGGC
rnacentral:rRNA from 1 species